UGUUUGUUCCUAUGCAUGCGAUAUGGUAAAUCUCGAAUCUUAGGUAUAUUCUAUAACAAUACGAUUCAUAUUAGAAUAUCAUUAAUCAAGUAUUUCCAAUCACUAUCGAUACCGGCUGCCUCUAUGUAUAAGGUCGAAAGUCCUGAGAAUGACGAGUUAUGUGAUCUCCUUUUGGGCGAUCCGAGUGCACUUUAUAAAGAGAAAGACUCACAGUAGGUAUUCUUGUGUUACUAAAUCUAAAACCGAAUUAGGUACAUUACUGUUAACUAUACCAAAAUAUGUGACGUGCUGUAAUUUUAAAAUAAAACGGCUUUAAGUAAUAAGAAAGAGCCAUAUAGAUUGAAUGUAAGUAUAGGACUAUAGGUAUCUUUGCAUAAUUAUAAUAAUUCACGUUAAGUGUUUAACACUACAGUCUUGUAAUUACAAGACAAUUGAUGAUAAUUAACUAUUGUGGAUGAGUUUAAAUAGCUGUCUAGGGUUUCAGUGUCCAUCUACUACUACUAUAUCUAGAUAAAUAAGUACCUAAAAUAUUUAGCUAACAAGUAGGCUAGUUAAAUACUACCAUUCGUUAAAUAAGAGAGACCUACACCUACAGUGGAUACUCAUUCAUUAGUCGGUUAAAAACAUAAUUAAGAAUGGUAACAAUGUCGAAGGAAAAUUAGAGGUAGAACAUAGUUACUUACUUAGGUAUAUUAAAUUGAAAACGUGUACAACCUAUACGAACUGAAUUACCUAUUUGAAGCGAUAUAACUACAUGUAAUUUGUAGGAAGCUAGGUGUCCAGAGAACCAGCCCAAGUAUUACGCACGAAGAUUACAUCGAGAUAAAGCUCAGUCUCGCGUUCUCCACUGACACGUAUAGUGACACAUAAUUAAUUUUAUCAUCGCCAUAAUUGUAGUUAAUCACAUAUAUCUCUGUACCAUCAGGGCGGAUGUUGUUGUAUUGUUUGUCAAAGGUUUCCGUCUGAAUGCUGGCACGCAUGCGAUGGCGAGGAUAUAAGGAGCGUCAGGAUAGCUUUAGGUCAAGUACACUAGUGACUAGAGAAGAUGAAGCUAGUGCUUUGUUUACUGGUGCUUGUUGCAGCGGCGGCUGGGAGCCGCGGAAAUGUUGAGGCUGCGUCUUUGAAUCAUGAGAUUGAAUCCCAGGAAGAUUACAUGCCAUUGAGUAGGGUGGCCAGAGAGGAACCACCACCGCCACCGCCGGAAAUGACUCCUCCCCCAGAGGAAAUGCCACCUCCUCCCCCGCAAGACAAGAAGAUGCCGUCUCUUGUCUCUCGCCAUAAGAGAUCUCCAAAAGGAGGCGGUACUAUGCCUACGAGAAAAGGAUGAAUUCUUCUAUACAUCUAUGCCUUUCUCCCAGUUGAAUUUAUACUUACUUACGGCAACUUAACUUCCCAUACGGUUAUUUGAUCAUAUAAUUUAUGUUAACUAUGGUAUUUAUGUGUAAUAUUGAUGUAGAUAUUGAAAUAUAACUACCUACCAUAGCAAAUUGAUAAUUAUUAUUUUUUGUUUUAGGGUAAAAACUGAGAUAGGUUUGAGAUAAUAAAAUAUCGUCAAAAGUUA